rnacentral:lncRNA from 1 species
GGUGUACAGUGAAUAUCAAUCGAUUAAGGUAUUAAUGGAUUCCUAGUUGAGUUCUGCCAGAGUUAUGAAGUUUUGCUUUUUUUUUUUUAAGAACUGAUAAUGCAAUAAGCCAGAUUAUUUCUGAUUAAGUUUUUUGUGUGCAGAGACCUGUCAAAUGAAGAGUACAACUGAAGUCCAUCCCUAUACCAUUAUUUGAUGAAUAGGAGGAAGAAACAGAAUAAGCUUCAUUAGCAUAGAUACCACUCCUAUACUGUAUAUGCACUGUAUGUGCAAACAUACAGACUACAGUCCUUCCAGGUUUUGGGUAGCACAAUGCUCUUAUCCUCACUGCAGCAGUAAAGAGCACAAGUUGCACAGAACAUGCUCUGAAUUAGGGAUAUCUCAGUAUCCAAGGCUUGGCUUCAUACCCCUGACAGGGUUUUAGUGGAUUAUUGUCUUUCUCCAGUGCAGUGAUGGAAUGGAAGCAUCAGCUUUGGCACCCAGGCUUGGUGCUUACCAGGAGCAAAAACUUAAAGAACAAAUUUGCUUUCCCAAGUUUCUGCAUUCUGUGCGCAAGAACAACCUUAAUUUUAGACUGAGCCUUGCUGUUGCUGGCCGUACUAGGCAAAAGAAAUGUGUCAUGUUAAGUCCUAUUGUCAAAACGUUAGGCAAAAAACAUCUGCUUAUCUCAACCUGG